rnacentral:rRNA from 1 species
GAUGAACGCUGGCGGCGUGCCUAAUACAUGCAGGUCGAGCGAAUGGAUUAAGAGCUUGCUCUUAUGAAGUUAGCGGCGGACGGGCGAGUAACACGUGGGUAACCUGCCCAUAAGACUGGGAUAACUCCGGGAAACCGGGGCUAAUACCGGAUAACAUUUUGAACCGCAUGGUUCGAAAUUGAAAGGCGGCUUCGGCUGUCACUUAUGGAUGGACCCGCGUCGCAUUAGCUAGUUGGUGAGGUAACGGCUCACCAAGGCAACGAUGCGUAGCCGACAUGGGAGGGUGAUCGGCCACACUGGGACUGAGACACGGCCCGGACUCCUACGGGAGGCAGCAGUAGGGAAUCUUCCGCAAUGGACGAAAGUCUGACGGAGCAACGCCGCGUGAGUGAUGAAGGCUUUCGGGUCGUAAAACUCUGUUGUUAGGGAAGAACAAGUGCUAGUUGAAUAAGCUGGCACCUUGACGGUACCUAACCAGAAAGCCACGGCUAACUACGUGCCAGCCACCGCCGUAA